UCACUAAGCGGAGGAAAAGAAACUAACAAGGAUUCCCCUAGUAACGGCGAGUGAAGCGGGAAGAGCCCAGCACCGAAUCCCCCGCCUUUGAGGCGGCGGGAACUGUGGUGUUUAGGUCAGCCUCUGGGGCGGUGUUCUGGCGUCCGAGUCCUCCUGAUCGGGGCCUUUCCCAUAGCGGGUGUCAGGCCUCUACUGGCGCCGGUCGCUGUCCCUCUGGUCGUCCUUGGAGUCGGGUUGUUUGGGAAUGCAGCCCUAAGUGGGUGGUAAACUCCAUCUAAGGCUAAAUACUGACACGAGUCCGAUAGC
rnacentral:rRNA from 1 species